AUAUCAUGUUGAAACAUUAGUUCCCGUAUGAUCACUAAAGUUAAGCAACGUUGAGCUUGGUCAUUACCUUGAUGGGUGACCACUGGGGAAUAACAGGUGCUGUAAG